GACGAACGCUGGCGGCGUGCCUAAUACAUGCAAGUAGAACGCUGAAGGAGGAGCUUGCUUCUCCGGAUGAGUUGCGAACGGGUGAGUAACGCGUAGGUAACCUGCCUGGUAGCGGGGGAUAACUAUUGGAAACGAUAGCUAAUACCGCAUAAGAGUAGAUGUUGCAUGACAUUUGCUUAAAAGGUGCAAUUGCAUCACUACCAGAUGGACCUGCGUUGUAUUAGCUAGUUGGUGAGGUAACGGCUCACCAAGGCGACGAUACAUAGCCGACCUGAGAGGGUGAUCGGCCACACUGGGACUGAGACACGGCCCAGACUCCUACGGGAGGCAGCAGUAGGGAAUCUUCGGCAAUGGACGGAAGUCUGACCGAGCAACGCCGCGUGAGUGAAGAAGGUUUUCGGAUCGUAAAGCUCUGUUGUAAGAGAAGAACGAGUGUGAGAGUGGAAAGUUCACACUGUGACGGUAUCUUACCAGAAAGGGACGGCUAACUACGG
rnacentral:rRNA from 1 species